GUCUUCUUGAUAAAAUAGGAAGUCUGACCUGCCCAGUGAAAAUAUUUUAACGGCCGCGGUAUAUUGACCGUGCAAAGGUAGCAUAAUCAUUAGUCUUUUAAUAGAGGGCUGGAAUGAAGGGUUUAACGAAGUACUUACUGUCUCAUUUAAUUUGAUAUUAAAAUUUACUUUUUCAGUCAAAAAGCUGAAAUACUAUUGGAAGACGAGAAGACCCUAUAGAGCUUUAUAUUUAAUUAUUUAAUAAAUUUUUGAUAUAAUUAUUAUUUAUUAUUUAAUAAAAUAUUUUGUUGGGGUGACAAAAAUAUAUAAUUAACUUUUUUAUUUAUAUAACAUUGAUAUAUGAAAAAUAGAUCCAGUUUUACUGAUUGUUAGAAUAAGUUACCUUAGGGAUAACAGCGUAAUCUUCCUUCAGAGUUCAUAUUCACAGGGAGGCUUGCGACCUCGAUGUUGGAUUAAGAUUAUAAUUAGGUGUAGCCGCUUAAAAAAUAGGUCUGUUCGACCUUUAAAUUCUU
rnacentral:rRNA from 1 species